UGCUGUGGUGUACAGAGGCUGAGGACAGAGCAAGGACAAACCUCCUGCUUUUAAUUUUGCUGAGGGUGUAAAAUGAGUCGAGGCUUUCUGCAGUCAGUAUUCUAUUCAUAUCUUUUGUGUCCGAUGCUAUUUUUGUUGGCUGUGCCCCUGGAGGUGGAGGUGUGGAAGUGCGUUUCUGCUGGUCUUUGCAAGCGGUGUAGAUGUUUCCUCUGUUCCAGGCACCACCUCAGACGCUGCGGCCUUACAGGACGAGUAGGCGGAUGUCAGCGUGGCCAUUUCUCACCUGUCUGUAACUUUUUAAUACUUCCUUUUAUUUUGGCUUUGCAUUUCUUCCAUGGAACGAACAUCUCUGGGUAGCCACUGGGAGGUGUAAACGGCUUGGGAUGGAAACCACAGCUUGUAGGUGCGCCCUCUGCCAGGCUUUUCUGGCACCCGAGGAAGCCCAGACUCUGCCUGUUCCCAAGCGAAAGGGAUAUUACCAGCUGCUCGGUGAGAAAACAAAUUCACAGAGAUACAGGAAAGCGUGUUAAGUUGGUGGGAAGCAACGGGCAUGAGAUUCCUGGCAGCUCGGGUGACUGACAUUAUUUUGGAACCUGAUUCUCGAACAUCUGGGAUUAGCUCUCCUGGAAAUGUGAGGACGUGGGCCCUCUAGUGCCACUUGGAAAAUGCCGGUAUUCCAGCCCACAGUUCUGCAAGGGAGGUGUUAUUUGGCAAGUCUCCUGCAUGUGGCUGGUCCAGCAACAGGA